UAGAAGAAGAGGAAGUGGGUUGAGGCUUAGAGUAGACAGGGGAGUGGGCGUCUGAACGGCGCCGGUGUGGAGUGGAGGUAGGCAGCGCCCUCGCCGGAGAAACAGGCGCGGUGGCGGCGCCAGAUCUGGGGUAAAGGGGAGGAGGCGGCGGAGCAGCUCUGUUGUCCGCCGAGGUGACGGCGACAGCAGUCGUUGCUGCCGGCCGAAGAAAGAAGAGAAGGGGGACAACGCCGGGCUGGAGGAGACGGCGUUCGGUGUAACGGCGGCGGCUGGCUGCUCGCUGGAACAGGGGCGGCGCCGGCGCUCUUCACCGGUGGCCGACUGGUCGAGAGGGUGAGAGGGGUCAGGGAGAGAGAUGGAGGCUGGGAGAGAGAAGGAAGGCGCUGGGCGACGCCGUCUUCAGGCGGCGGCGGCAGCGGGAAGGCUGAGAGAGGGAGAGAGGGUGCGCUGGUUUGUGCGUGUAUGAGUGUGUUUC
rnacentral:lncRNA from 1 species